CUAAGGGUUCCUUGCAUCUUUCUGAAUGGUAAUUGCACUCCUCUUGAGUUGUCACUCACCAUUGGAAGGGUCCACGCUUCUUGAUAUGGCUGUAGAUCCAGGUCACAGCUAGUGCUAGGAUGCUUAUAUCUGGUGUGUGGAAUGAGCUGAGCCAUGCUGUCUGCCUGUGAUUGACGGACAAGUCAAAGUGCAAGUCAAAGCGGCUGGAGCUGGUGAUAAAGAUCAGUCUGGUAACAUAUUUUGACAAAAAAAAAAAAAAAAUGUUGCAAGAAGGAUGUAGCACAUAAGAUUUUUCUUCUGGAUUCUUCUGAAGGUUUCAAGAAACUGCAUUAUAAUAUAAUAAUGCAUUAUGAUUGGUAAAAAAAACUUCAUUCGUCUUAUCCUACUGAGGAGCUGCUUCUAACAAAAUAUGAAACAACAUUCUCAUCUUUCCCAUGAUUGUGUCAAAAAUCAGAGGUUCAGAGAUAAAAUACGUAUUGGAAAAUAAAUUGUCAGAAUUUUUUUUGCAUCUCUAUUUUAACAGCACUUAAAUGACUUGGGAAAGCAUUUCAGGAAAAAUAUUUUUUUUUAGAAAAUAAACAAGCAGGAAAAAAAAAACCACCCUCAACAUCUGAAGGGUUAGAACUUUAACAUUAGAAGAAGGGAUAAUUGCGACAAAUAUUUAUUGUUCUGUUGAUUUGCUUGACUAACUCUAACCCUCAACAGUAAGUGCUUUGUGCUUUCAUUCAGUAUUUUAUUUGUUAGCAAAUAUUCUAAGGGAAGUGUAGUCCCCUGUGCUUUGCAGAUGACCUCAGGAAGUAUAGUUACGUAGAAUAAAAUCAUAGACAAAAACUGGGUCUUUUCUUAACAAUGAAUAUCUUCAUUAUGUAGCUAUGGGGAUGAUUUCAAUUAAAAAAAUAUAUAUAUAUCUGAUUGGCAACUAAUUUCUUGCUUAGCCAAAUAAAGAAAAUCCAGAUCUGAUUUUAUUUUUUGACUAGAGCUGUGACUUAUUUGACUUAAAAAAAAAAAAAAAACAAACUUUAGUAUGAAGAAGAAAGCUUUGUUUGCCUCUGUCUUUCAUUAUCAGUACUUCAAAAUUCGAAGCGUCACCUGUUUCACUCUGUUUUUCUUUCUGAAUAAUUUUUUUUCCAUAACAUACAAGCUGGUAUGAAAAUCUAUCUACUUACAAAGUGGUUAGUAUUCAUUUUUUUGGUUUCUAGGUUGUAAGAAAGGCAGGGCACUGAGAGAUAAAACUGGAGAAGGAGGAAGGCUGAUGAUGAGAUGUUCUCAAUUGCAUAGCAUAGCAUAACUAUAUUCUAACAGAGCAAAUUUUUGUCAUCUUGAAGGCCGUGGUAAAUAUAACACAACACUGAAAAUGAUGCACAAAAAUACAGCUUAUUUAUUAAAAAAGUAUAUUCAAAUGUGUAUAAUGUAGAGACAGAUAUUUAAAUAUGGAUAAUACAAAGACAGACAGAAACGAAGGGCAUUUGUCUGUUACUCCCUUUAUCAAAAAUCAGGAAGCUGUUCCUCCUGCGCUCUAUCCCAAAGACAUUUUAUCCUUGGUUUUUAGUGUAUCUUCAGAGCAAGUGAUUUAUGUAAGCCCUGCAUAUUUGUGUGUUUUGUCAUUGAAGAGGUCACUGAUUUAGCUAUACUUUUGCUUGCUUGCAGUCAAAAUACUUACUGAUUUUGAAUACAAAGAGUUUUUACUCAGGUUAAAACAUCCUCUUCACCCACAUGUUGGGAUUUCUUUUUUGUUAUUAAUUUAAUUAGAACAUUGUAAUACUACUUCUUCAUACAGCAUUUCAGCUUUCUUGAUGAGCUGUUUUGAGGCAAAAUAGCAUUUUAUGCCUUCUAGAAUGAUAUUUGAACUUGUACAGCUCUCAUCUGACACAGAUCCUUGUAUUUCUCCUAAAUGACAGACUGAUCACUCAUUGUUCAGCAGUGUAAAUGGAAUUCAAACAGAGUUUUUAACUACAUGCCAGCUGAGACCAAAGGUACAGUACUUUUGACAAAUGACAAUUUUGGUGUAUCUAGUUUGUAGAAUAGCCUUUGGGAGUUACCUGUGUGAUAACAUUGCUCUGUUGGUCAAUUUACUGUACUUUUUUUAAUCAUAUGCAUUGAUUUUCUUAAACGUACAAAAGGAAGGUAAAACCAAACAAACUUUCUUAAGCAAAAAUUUCACAAUAUGCCAUUUAAGAAAGCCAACUCUAAUUACCAGUCAUGCCAAAUUAUCAAAUUCUGUUGUGGAAUGUAGCAACCACAUUUCUUCAUAGUCAAUUCAAUAUUUUUGCUCAAGUUUAAAUUGACUACUUGGAAAAUGAAUGAAAAACAUAUUUCAAACUGAAUUUCAAGGCAGCUGGCUGCUUAACAGGAAAGUUGAGUAGCAGACUAGUAAUGCUUGAGAGGUUCUCCAGAAUCUUGAAAGCAUCCAAAAGUAUGAUGAUUAUAAAUUUUUACAAGUUUUAUGUAAUUAUGUAUGACAUUUAAUAGAAACCUUCCAAAGUGGCUGCUUGAAGCAUAUCUGAACUCAAGUGAAAUUAACUGUUAAGUGUACACUUCAAAAAGAAAUCCUUUGUUUUGUACAUCUGAUGUUACAACAGUAAUUUUAACAAAAUAAUCUAACUGUAAUUAAAAUAAGCUGUGAAAUAUUACCUAUUUUUAAAUUAGUUAUUUGGAAUUUGGUCUUGUUCAACUUUAUUCCUAAUUUUACAUUGCCACAUUAUUCAUCUCUAAUGCAGAUACUUGGUACUUUGAUGUCAUUUUCUUGC